UACGAAGGGGGCUAGCGUUGCUCGGAUUUACUGGGCGUAAAGGGCGCGUAGGCGGACAGUUAAGUCGGGGGUGAAAGCCCGGGGCUCAACCUCGGAAUUGCCUUCGAUACUGGCUGUCUUGAGUACGGGAGAGGUGUGUGGAACUCCGAGUGUAGAGGUGAAAUUCGUAGAUAUUCGGAAGAACACCAGUGGCGAAGGCGACACACUGGCCCGUUACUGACGCUGAAGCACGAAAGCGUGGGGAGCAAACAGG
rnacentral:rRNA from 1 species